UACGGAGGGAGCUAGCGUUAUUCGGAAUUACUGGGCGUAAAGCGCACGUAGGCGGCUUUGUAAGUUAGAGGUGAAAGCCUGGAGCUCAACUCCAGAAUAGCCUUUGAUACUGCAUGGCUUGAAUCCAGGAGAGGUGAGUGGAAUUCCGAGUGUAGGGGUGAAAUUCGUAGAUAUUCGGAAGAACAUCAGUGGCGAAGGCGGCUCACUGGACUGGUAUUGACGCUGAGGUGCGAAAGCGUGGGGAGCAAACAGG
rnacentral:rRNA from 1 species